rnacentral:rRNA from 1 species
AGAGUUUGAUCCUGGCUCAGAGCGAACGCUGGCGGCAGGCCUAACACAUGCAAGUCGAACGAACUCUUCGGAGUUAGUGGCGGACGGGUGAGUAACACGUGGGAACGUGCCUUUAGGUUCGGAAUAACUCAGGGAAACUUGUGCUAAUACCGAAUGUGCCCUUCGGGGGAAAGAUUUAUCGCCUUUAGAGCGGCCCGCGUCUGAUUAGCUAGUUGGUGAGGUAAAGGCUCACCAAGGCGACGAUCAGUAGCUGGUCUGAGAGGAUGAUCAGCCACAUUGGGACUGAGACACGGCCCAAACUCCUACGGGAGGCAGCAGUGGGGAAUCUUGCGCAAUGGGCGAAAGCCUGACGCAGCCAUGCCGCGUGAAUGAUGAAGGUCUUAGGAUUGUAAAAUUCUUUCACCGGGGACGAUAAUGACGGUACCCGGAGAAGAAGCCCCGGCUAACUUCGUGCCAGCAGCCGCGGUAAUACGAAGGGGGCUAGCGUUGCUCGGAAUUACUGGGCGUAAAGGGAGCGUAGGCGGACAUUUAAGUCAGGGGUGAAAUCCCGGGGCUCAACCUCGGAAUUGCCUUUGAUACUGGGUGUCUUGAGUAUGAGAGAGGUGUGUGGAACUCCGAGUGUAGAGGUGAAAUUCGUAGAUAUUCGGAAGAACACCAGUGGCGAAGGCGACACACUGGCUCAUUACUGACGCUGAGGCUCGAAAGCGUGGGGAGCAAACAGGAUUAGAUACCCUGGUAGUCCACGCCGUAAACGAUGAUUGCUAGUUGUCGGGAUGCAUGCAUUUCGGUGACGCAGCUAACGCAUUAAGCAAUCCGCCUGGGGAGUACGGUCGCAAG